AAACCAGCACCCCAAGUGGUCAGGAUGAUUAUUGGGCCUAAAGCAUCCGUAGCCGGCUCUGUAAGUUUUCGGUUAAAUCUGUACGCUUAACGUACAGGCUGCUGGGAAUACUGCAGAGCUAGGGAGUGGGAGAGGUAGACGGUACUCGGGAGGAAGUGGUAAAAUGCUUUGAUCUCUCGAUGACCACCUGUGGCGAAGGCGGUCUACCAGAACACGUCCGACGGUGAGGGAUGAAAGCUGGGGGAGCAAACCGGAUUAGAAACCCCAGUAGUCC
rnacentral:rRNA from 1 species